rnacentral:misc_RNA from 1 species
GGACUACAGGGGUAUCUAAUCCUGUUUGCUACCCACGCUUUCGUGCCUCAGCGUCAGUUAAAGCCCAGCAGGCCGCCUUCGCCACUGGUGUUCCUCCCCAUCUCUACGCAUUUCACCGCUACACGGGGAAUUCCGCCUGCCUCUACUUCACUCAAGCUCUACAGUUUCAAAUGCAGUUUAUGGGUUGAGCCCAUAGAUUUCACAUCUGACUUGCAAAGCCGCCUACGCACCCUUUACACCCAGUAAAUCCGGACAACGCUUGCUCCCUACGUAUUACCGCGGCUGCUGGCACGUAGUUAGCCGGAGCUUAUUCAUUAAGUACCGUCAUUUUUCGUCCUUAAUAAAAGAAGUUUACAAUCCGAAAACCUUCAUCCUUCACGCGGCGUUGCUGCGUCAGGGU